CCGUUGACCAGAUACACUAGAACUAU
rnacentral:piRNA from 1 species